rnacentral:misc_RNA from 1 species
UCAGAUACAAGAUCUCUCAGU